AACGAACGCUGGCGGCAUGCCUAACACAUGCAAGUCGAACGAGACCUUCGGGUCUAUUGGCGCACGGGGCCGUACCGCGUGGGAACCUACCCUUAGGUUCGGAAUACCUCCCUGUAAGGUAUGUUAAUACCGGUUAAUGUCAUCGGACCUAAGAUCUAUCGCUUUUGGAUGGGCGCUCGUUGGUUUAGCUAGUUGGUAGUGUAAUAGCCUAUCAAGGACUCGAUCCAUAGCUGGUCGGAUAGGAUGCUAAGCCACGCUGGAACUGAGGCACGGCCUAGAAUCGUACGGAAGGGAGCAGAAGAGUAUAUUAGAGGAGGGGCGAAAGCCCGACACAGCAAUGCCGGGUAAGUGAUGAAGGCGUUAGGGAUGUAAAGCUCUUUUAGCCGAGAUGAUAAUGACAGUAACGGGAGAAUAAGCACCGGCUAACUACGUG
rnacentral:rRNA from 1 species